GAUGAACGCUAGCUACAGGCUUAACACAUGCAAGUCGAGGGGAAACGACAUCGAAAGCUUGCUUUUGAUGGGCGUCGACCGGCGCACGGGUGAGUAACGCGUAUCCAACCUGCCCACCACUUGGGGAUAACCUUGCGAAAGUAAGACUAAUACCCAAUGAUAUCUCUAGAAGACAUCUGAAAGAGAUUAAAGAUUUAUCGGUGAUGGAUGGGGAUGCGUCUGAUUAGCUUGUUGGCGGGGUAACGGCCCACCAAGGCGACGAUCAGUAGGGGUUCUGAGAGGAAGGUCCCCCACAUUGGAACUGAGACACGGUCCAAACUCCUACGGGAGGCAGCAGUGAGGAAUAUUGGUCAAUGGGCGAGAGCCUGAACCAGCCAAGUAGCGUGCAGGAUGACGGCCCUAUGGGUUGUAAACUGCUUUUAUAAGGGAAUAAAGUGAGUCUCGUGAGACUUUUUGCAUGUACCUUAUGAAUAAGGACCGGCUAAUUCCGUGCCAGCAGCCG
rnacentral:rRNA from 1 species